GAUGAACGCUGGCGGCGUGCCUAAUACAUGCGAGUCGAGCGAACAGACGAGGAGCUUGCUCCUCUGACGUUAGCGGCGGACGGGUGAGUAACACGUGGAUAACCUACCUAUAAGACUGGGAUAACUUCGGGAAACCGGAGCUAAUACCGGAUAAUAUAUUGAACCGCAUGGUUCAAUAGUGAAAGACGGUUUUGCUGUCACUUAUAGAUGGAUCCGCGCCGCAUUAGCUAGUUGGUAAGGUAACGGCUUACCAAAGCGACGAUGCGUAGCCGACCUGAGAGGGUUAUCCGCCACACUGGAACUGAGACACGGUCCAGACUCCUAAGGGAGGCAGCAGUAGGGAAUCUUCCGCAAUUGGCGAAAGCUUUACGGGGCAACGCCGCGUGAGUGAUGAAGGUCUUCGGAUCGUAAAACUCUGUUAUUAGGGAAGAACAAAUGUGUAAGUAACUAUGCACGUCUUGACGGUACCUAAUCAGAAAGCCACGGCUAACUACGUG
rnacentral:rRNA from 1 species